rnacentral:rRNA from 1 species
GACGAACGCUGGCGGCGUGCUUAACACAUGCAAGUCGAACGGAAAGGCCCUGCUUUUGUGGGGUGCUCGAGUGGCGAACGGGUGAGUAACACGUGAGUAACCUGCCCUUGACUUUGGGAUAACUUCAGGAAACUGGGGCUAAUACCGGAUAGGAGCCCCUGCUGCAUGGUGGGGGUUGGAAAGUUUCGGCGGUUGGGGAUGGACUCGCGGCUUAUCAGCUUGUUGGUGGGGUAGUGGCUUACCAAGGCUUUGACGGGUAGCCGGCCUGAGAGGGUGACCGGCCACAUUGGGACUGAGAUACGGCCCAGACUCCUACGGGAGGCAGCAGUGGGGAAUACUGCACAAUGGGCGGAAGCCUGAUGCAGCAACGCCGCGUGCGGGAUGACGGCCUUCGGGUUGUAAACCGCUUUCGCCUGUGACGAAGCGUGAGUGACGGUAAUGGGUAAAGAAGCACCGGCUAACUACGUG